rnacentral:rRNA from 1 species
UUAGUCACAGCGCACGACACCUUGAAACCAAAAGUUCUAGGAGUUUCUAGAGAAGCUUUAGUAAGGCAUAGGAGUUGACGGUCUCCCCAUUCUUAUUAGAGGAGCCUGUCCUAUUAUCGAUANCCCCCGUUUANUCUCACCAUUUUUAGUCUAUCUGCCUGUAUACCUCCGUCGUCAGCUUACCUCGUGAGCAAAUCUUAGUGAGCUNAAUGCCCUUACGCCAACGCGUCAGGUCAAGGUGGAGCAAAUGAAAUGGGAUGAGCAUGGGCUUCUCUUUCUAAUAAAGAUAACUCGAAUGACUUUUUAUGAAGCCUAGUCAGAAACGCGGAUUUAGCAAUAAAAAGAAUNUACAAUGUUCNUUUUGGUUUGGNNCNGGGGUGUCUCC